rnacentral:rRNA from 1 species
GAUGAACGCUGGCGGCGUGCUUAACACAUGCAAGUCGAACGAUGAAGGGGGAGCUUGCUCCUCUGGAUUAGUGGCGAACGGGUGAGUAACACGUGAGCAAUCUGCCCCUGACUCUGGGAUAAGCGCUGGAAACGGCGUCUAAUACCAGAUACGAGCCGAGCAGGCAUCUGCAUCGGUUGGAAAGAACUUCGGUCUGGGAUGAGCUCGCGGCCUAUCAGCUUGUUGGUGAGGUAAUGGCUCACCAAGGCGACGACGGGUAGCCGGCCUGAGAGGGUGACCGGCCACACUGGGACUGGGACACGGCCCAGACUCCUACGGGAGGCAGCAGUGGGGAAUUUUGCGCAAGGGGGGCAACCCUGACGCAGCAACGCCGCGUGCGGGACGAAGGCGUCCGCGUCGUAAACCGCUUUCAGCGGGGAACACUUUUCGAGGGUACCCGCAGAAGAAGCCCCGGCUAAAUACGUGCCAGCCGCCGCCGUAA